AGUGAACGCUGGCGGUAGGCCUAACACAUGCAAGUCGAACGGCAGCACAGGAGAGCUUGCUCUCUGGGUGGCGAGUGGCGGACGGGUGAGGAAUACAUCGGAAUCUACUUUUUCGUGGGGGAUAACGUAGGGAAACUUACGCUAAUACCGCAUACGACCUACGGGUGAAAGCAGGGGAUCUUCGGACCUUGCGCGAUUGAAUGAGCCGAUGUCGGAUUAGCUAGUUGGCGGGGUAAAGGCCCACCAAGGCGACGAUCCGUAGCUGGUCUGAGAGGAUGAUCAGCCACACUGGAACUGAGACACGGUCGAGACUCCUACGGGAGGCAGCAGUGGGGAAUAUUAGACAAUGGGCGCAAGCCUGAUCCAGCCAUACCGCGUGGGUGAAGAAGGCCUUCGGGUUGUAAAGCCCUUUUGUUGGGAAAGAAAUCCAGCUGGUUAAUACCCGGUUGGGAUGACGGUACCCAAAGAAUAAGCACCGGCUAACUUCGUGCCAGCCGCCGCCGCGG
rnacentral:rRNA from 1 species